UCCAGCAGAGUUGUGUGAGGGUGAGGGUGAGGGUAGUUUGGCCGAGGAUGACACCUAGUGGGAUCAUGUUAGAAAAGGAAUGUGUUGUAUAUGUUCUAAUACCAAUAUUGAAUCUUUACUGUACAGGUCUUACUGUUCAUUCUAUCCAAUAGGGUAGCUGGAUGCCUAAUUGUCGAACCAAUAGAGAAGGCAUUCAAAGUCAUCUCAAAUUCAGCAGACAAUGAUGCUAUUAACACAAAAGAACAACGAACCAAACCAACCAUCCUCUAAUUUGGGGAUAUUAGUUUUCAGAGGGAGACAGUGAAAAGAUCUCAUUCUGCUAGUAAUACUAACCUGUUGGAUGGAGACCUUGGUAGUGCAGUUGUUUGCGAGGAGGUAGCAGUGCCGGCUGUCUGUGGCAUUAGAGCAAUUUUGGUGUCUCCUGUCAACAGAAGAAAAUGAAUAGCCACUCAGUUGCUGGAUGAAGUGAGCUAUCACCCAAUACCAGUUGUGUUCUCUGAGGCAAAGGGAUCAUGUAUAUGGGAUCCUGAAGGCAAAUGGUAUCUAGACUCUCUCUGCUUAUUCUGCAGUUAAUCAGUGCUGCUGCCUCUUCAAUGUCUGCACUAAAUCAGCCAACCGUUCGAGUUCAGGCUAUCAUUGCUAAAGGUGUACCGAGUCAGAUGCUAAGCAAUUGAUUGUGGCUAUCAUUGCAUUAUUUUCUUAUGAUUGAGUUGUGGCUAUCAUUGCAUUAUUUGCUUCUGAAAAUUUGAGAAACUUCAUGUUGCAGAAACUAUUAGUACUAAAGAAUUAUGUCAACAUGUAAUAAGAAGAAUCACUAUAACAUAUCUGUUGUGUAUGUCUCACAAUGUGGUUAUCUAGGCUAUCAAAAAGUGGUUAAAACAGCUAGUGACCAUAACUCUUUUAACAAGAUUCCUCAAGUUCACUUACUUUGGUUCAGCUGCUGAGUUAGUUAAGUUGAUUUUUUAGUUUUGUUUUCGGGUUGGUUCUUUUGUAUUUUGGUGCACGUAUAUAAGUGAACCUUGCAUCAUUAUUUAUGUACACAGAUUUAGAGAGCACUAAGAGAAAAAGAAGAGAGAAAGAGAGAGUUCAGUGAGUUGUAGAGGUUGGAGUUAAAGAGAGAGCAUUAUUUAUGUACACUGUUGUUGAUGAUAGUGUUGAAUGUUUUAAACUAAUUUGUGGAUUGUUAAUACAAUGUUGAAUGUUCUUA